rnacentral:rRNA from 1 species
UGAGUAAUCUGCCCUCGACACUGGGAUAGCCCGGGGAAACCCGGAUUAAUACCGGAUAGCCUUUCGAGCUCUCGGGCUCGUCAGAAAAGGAUGGCUUCGGCUUUCGGUUGAGGAUGAGCUUGCGGCGGAUUAGCUUGUUGGUGAGGUAACGGCUCACCAAGGCGACAAUCCGUAGCUGGUCUGAGAGGACGAUCAGCGACACUGGGACUGAGACACGGCCCAGACCUCUACGGGAG